CCUACGGGUGGCAGCAGUGAGGAAUAUUGGUCAAUGGACGCAAGGCUGAACCAGCCAAGCCGCGUGAGGGAUGACGGUUCUAUGGAUUGUAAACCUCUUUUGUCCGAGGGUAAAGGCCGAUACGUGUAUCUGUUUGCGAGUAUCUUACGAAUAAGGAUCGGCUAACUCCGUGCCAGCAGCCGCGGUAAUACGGAGGAUUCGAGCGUUAUCCGGAUUUAUUGGGUUUAAAGGGUGCGUAGGCGGGAGGUUAAGUUAGCGGUUAAAUUUCGGGGCUCAACUUCGGUAUUGCCGUGGAUACUGGCGGGCGUGAGUGGAGGAGAGGUAGGCGGAAUGUGUGGUGUAGCGGUGAAAUGCUUAGAUAUCACGCAGAACUCCGAUUGCGAAGGCAGCAUACCGGCGCUCAACUGACGCUGAAGCACGAAAGCGUGGGUAUCGAACAGGAUUAGAUACCCCUGUAGUC
rnacentral:rRNA from 1 species